rnacentral:rRNA from 1 species
GGGAGGCAGCAGUGAGGAAUUUUGGACAAUGGGCGAAAGCCUGAUCCAGCAAUGCCGCGUGCAGGACGAAGGCCUUCGGGUUGUAAACUGCUUUUGUACGGAGCGAAAAGGCUUCUUCUAACACAAGGGGCCCAUGACGGUACCGUAAGAAUAAGCACCGGCUAACUACGUGCCAGCAGCCGCGGUAAUACGUAGGGUGCAAGCGUUAAUCGGAAUUACUGGGCGUAAAGCGUCCGCAGGCGGUUCUAUAAGACAGAUGUGAAGUCCCCGGGCUCAACCUGGGAACUGCAUCUGUGACUGUAGAGCUAGAGUACGGCAGAGGGGGAUGGAAUUCCGCGUGUAGCAGUGAAAUGCGUAGAUAUGCGGAGGAACACCGAUGGCGAAGGCAAUCCCCUGGGCCUGUACUGGCGCUCAUGGACGAAAGCGUGGGGAGCAAACAGGAUUAGAUACCCCGGUAGC